AUUGAACGCUGGCGGCAUGCCUUACACAUGCAAGUCGAACGGAUUUUGGGGCUUGCUCCAAAGUUAGUGGCGAACGGGUGAGUAAAGCAUCGGAACGUACCCAGUCGUGGGGGAUAACGUAGCGAAAGUUACGCUAAUACCGCAUACGAUCUGAGGAUGAAAGCGGGGGACCUUCGGGCCUCGCGCGAUUGGAGCGGCCGAUGUCGGAUUAGCUAGUUGGUGAGGUAAAGGCUCACCAAGGCGACGAUCCGUAGCUGGUCUGAGAGGACGACCAGCCACACUGGGACUGAGACACGGCCCAGACUCCUACGGGAGGCAGCAGUGGGGAAUUUUGGACAAUGGGCGAAAGCCUGAUCCAGCCAUGCCGCGUGAGUGUAGAAGGCCUUCGGGUUGUAAAGCUCUUUCAGACGGAAAGAAAUCUCUCGGGUGAAUAUCCCGGGAGGAUGACGGUACCGUAAGAAGAAGCACCGGCUAACUACGUGCCAGCCACCGCGGUAA
rnacentral:rRNA from 1 species